GUGGAACAUGAACAUGGUCAACGGUGAUCAGAAAAUGUUAAAUGGAAAAUUUCAGGUGGUGAAAUCUGAGAAGAGAUCUCUGCUUUCAAGAGGAGAGUUGGCCCUGAGAUCCAUUUCAAAGGUAAAUGAUAUAAUGUGGUAGAAAAAAGCAGGUGUUCAAAAAGUCUAAGCUUUAGCUGAAGUUAGAAGAUUGAGAAUAUAGAUAAAAUGUUUCUGAGAAACAUUGAGAAAUAAUAUGGCUUUUACUUACUUUACCAGAAAAGAAAAAGAUUCCCUGGGGCU
rnacentral:lncRNA from 10 species